CAGCCCUAAGUGGGUGGUAAACUCCAUCUAAGGCUAAAUAUGACCACGAGACCGAUAGCGAACAAGUACCGUGAGGGAAAGUUGAAAAGCACUUUGAAGAGAGAGUUCAAGAGUACGUGAAACCGUUUAGGGGUAAACCUGAGAAGCCCGAAAGGUCGAAGGGAGAAAUUCAUUCGCGUUUCGUCGCUGACGUUAGGCGGUCGUGUGACGGGGAUCGUUCGCGUUUCCCGCACCUUCCGUCUCUCGAAUCGGCGGCGUACGCGUGCACUUUUCUCCUGGUAGGACGUCGCGAUCCGUUGGGUGUCGGUCUACGGCUCGCGGUGGAGCCCGUCCGUCGAUUCACGUCGUACGGACGGACCCGCGUGUCCCGGCUGACUCGCCUGACGGUAUACGAAAGGUUUAAGGCCGCUCUUGGAGCGUUCGGCUCGCGGCAAGCGCGCCAGAUGCGUCGGCGAUCGGACCUGGUGCCGAUUCUGACCUCUGGUGACUGUUGGCCGUGAAGUUCUCGAACAGACCUUAGGACCGAUCUGCGACGCUAUAGCUUUGGGUACUUUCAGGACCCGUCUUGAAACACGGACCAAGGAGUCUAGCAUGUGCGCGAGUCAUUGGGAAUCACUAAACCUAAAGGCGCAAUGAAAGUAAAGGUCUUCCUUGCGAGGACUGAGGGAGGACGGGCGGUUUACCCUUAAAAGUGGCCGCCCCGCACUCCCGGGGCGUCUCGUUCUCAUCGCGAGAAGAGGCG
rnacentral:rRNA from 1 species